AUUGAACGCUGGCGGCAGGCCUAACACAUGCAAGUCGAACGGUAACAGGAAACAGCUUGCUGUUUCGCUGACGAGUGGCGGACGGGUGAGUAAUGUCUGGGAAACUGCCUGAGGGAGGGGGAUAACUACUGGAAACGGUAGCUAAUACCGCAUAACGUCGCAAGACCAAAGAGGGGGACCCUCGGGCCUCUUGCCAUCGGAUGUGCCCAGAUGGGAUUAGCUUGUUGGUGGGGUAACGGCUCACCAAGGCGACGAUCCCUAGCUGGUCUGAGAGGAUGACCAGCCACACUGGAACUGAGACACGGUCCAGACUCCUACGGGAGGCAGCAGUGGGGAAUAUUGCACAAUGGGCGCAAGCCUGAUGCAGCCAUGCCGCGUGUAUGAAGAAGGCCUUCGGGUUGUAAAGUACUUUCAGCGGGGAGGAAGGGAGUAAAGUUAAUACCUUUGCUCAUUGACGUUACCCGCAGAAGAAGCACCGGCUAACUCCGUG
rnacentral:rRNA from 1 species